rnacentral:rRNA from 1 species
UACGGGGGGGGCAAGCGUUGUUCGGAAUUACUGGGCGUAAAGGGCUCGUAGGCGGUCAACUAAGUCAGACGUGAAAUCCCUCGGCUUAACCGGGGAACUGCGUCUGAUACUGGAUGGCUAGAGUUUGGGAGAGGGGUGCGGAAUUCCAGGUGUAGCGGUGAAAUGCGUAGAUAUCUGGAGGAACACCGGUGGCGAAGGCGGCAUCCUGGACCAACACUGACGCUGAGGAGCGAAAGCCAGGGGAGCAAACGGG